rnacentral:tRNA from 1 species
GGCUUUAUAUUCAAAGUUAUGAUAUUAGAUUGCAAAUCUAAAGGUGUUGUUUAACUAAAGCUU